rnacentral:lncRNA from 1 species
GAAAAGGAAACCAAAACAGCCAAAAACAUGCAAAGAAGUUUGUAUCUGGUUUCAGAAAAAUGCGAGUACUUUUUCUUUGCAUAUGACCUGUAAGCAUGGAGCAUCCUUCUGAAGGCUACACACCAGACUACCAGCUUUGGAAGUGGAGACUAGAAAGAGGUAGAUAAUAAAGGAGAAAUUAACUUGGUCAACAGCAAAACCAAGAGAGUAUACACUGGCUAAUGUUGAUGGAAAAUAUGUGACUUAAUGUUUCUACAGGCUACAAUUGUAAAUCUGUGAAAGCUAAUUUGUACAUGGACAAUGAGAAGCUUGUGUUGUAGACGAAAGAAAACAUUGCUUUAAUCUUGGGUGGGUCUGUGGGUAAUUUUCUUUCUGGAAUUCUGUAGUUUCAAUUAUAAUGUUUCUUAUUC